AUUGAACGCUGGCGGCAGGCCUAACACAUGCAAGUCGAGCGGAGCUGCGGACGGGUGAGUACUGCCUAGGAAUCUGCCUGGUAGUGGGGGAUAACGUCCGGAAACGGGCGCUAAUACCGCAUACUAUCAGAUGAGCCUAUGUCGGAUUAGCUAGUUGGUGGGGGAAAGGCCUACCAAGUCGACGAUCCGGAACUGGUCUGAGAGGAUGAUCAGUCACACGGGAACUGAGACACGGUCCAGACUCCUACGGGAGGCAGCAGUGGGGAAUAUGUGACAAUGGGCGAAAGCCUGAUCCAGCCAUGCCGCGUGUGUGAAGAAGGUCUUCGGAUUGUAAAGCACUUUAGGUUGGGAGGCGUUACCAACAGAAUAAGCACCGGCUAACUUCGUGCCAGCAGCCGCGGUAAUAC
rnacentral:rRNA from 1 species